GCUCAGAACGUACGCUGGCGGCACGCCUAACACAUGCAAGUCGAGCGGGGUAGCAAUACCUAGCGGCAGACGGGUGCGUAACAUGUGGGAAUCUGCCUUUUGGUUCGGAACAACACGGGGAAACCUGUGCUAAUACCGGAUAAGUCCUUACGGAGAAAGUUUUAAUGCCAAAAGAUGAGCCCGCAUUUGAUUAGCUAGUUGGUGAGGUAAGAGCUCACCAAGGCGAUAAUCAAUAGCUGAUUUGAGAGGAUGAUCAGCCACACUGGGACUGAGAUACGGCCCAGACUCCUACGGGAGGCAGCAGUGGGGAAUCUUGCACAAUGGGCGAAAGCCUGAUGCAGCGAUGCCGCGUGAGUGAAGAAGGCCUUUGGGUUGUAAAGCUCUUUUGUCGGGAAAGAUAAUGACUGUACCCGAAGAAUAAGGUCCGGCUAACUUCGUGCCAGCAGCCGCGGUAAUACGAAGGGACCUAGCGUAGUUCGGAAUUACUGGGCGUAAAGAGUAUGUAGGCGGCUAGAUAAGUUAAUUGUGAAAGCCCAAAGCUUAACUUUGGAAUUGCAACUAAAACUAUUUAGCUAGAGUAUGAUAGAGGAAAGCGGAAUACAUAGUGUAGAGGUGAAAUUCGUAGAUAUUAUGUAGAACACCAGUUGCGAAGGCGGCUUUCUGGAUCAUUACUGACGCUGAGAUACGAAAGUAUGGGUAGCGAAGAGGAUUAGAUACCCUCGUAGUCCAUACUGUAAACGAUGAUUAUUAGAUGUGGGGAAUUAUUUCUCUGUAUCACAGCUAACGCGUUAAAUAAUCCGCCUGGGGAGUACGACCGCAAGGUUAAAACUCAAAUGAAUUGACGGGGACCCGCACAAGCGGUGGAUGAUGUGGUUUAAUUCGAUGCAACGCGAAAAACCUUACCUACCCUUGACAUGUACGGAACUUGCCAGAGAUGGCUUGGUGCUCGAAAGAGAGCCGUAACACAGGUGCUGCAUGGCUGUCGUCAGCUCGUGUCGUGAGAUGUUGGGUUAAGUCCCGCAACGAGCGCAACCCUUGUCAUUAGUUGCUACAUUUAGUUGGGCACUCUAAUGAGACUGCCGGUGACAAACCGGAGGAAGGUGGGGAUGACGUCAAGUCCUCAUGGCCCUUAUGGGUAGGGCUACACACGUCAUACAAUGGCUGGUACAAAGGGUUGCCAACCCGCGAGGGGGAGCUAAUCCCAUAAAGCCAGUCGUAGUCCGGAUCGUAGUCUGCAACUCGACUGCGUGAAGUCGGAAUCGCUAGUAAUCGUGGAUCAGAAUGUCACGGUGAAUACGUUCCCGGGACUUGUACACACCGCCCGUCACACCAUGGGAGCGGGUCUCGCCAGAAGUAGUUAGCCUAACCGCAAGGGGGGCGAUUACCACGGCGGGGUUCGUGACUGGGGUGAAGUCGUAACAAGGUAACCG
rnacentral:rRNA from 1 species